AUCUGAAGGGCCACAGAAUCCCUAGUCCACACCCAGCUAUCCAACUAUAAGCGUCUGCUUAUAGUUGGAAUCCUUUCAAAAUAAUGACAGGCCAGGUGGACUCUGGUCUGACGCUCACUGAGAAUGGUAGGGCACAAGGCAGAGAGGCCAGCAGGA